CAUGGCCAGCCUCUACUUCUCUACUCUCUCCCUCUCUCUGCCUCUACUACCCUAACUCUCCUCCCCAUGCCCUGAAGAAACUCUGUUCUACACUAUACCAUCGUGUGGCUGGUCCCUCAGGGGAAAGGGAUGCCUUGGCAUGGGCCCGCUGUGGCACCCCUUCCCCCAUACCUCACCACACCUCCAUAGAACAUAUCUUAUAGCUCGUCAUCUUUUUCAAAACACAUCAUCUGGUGCCAUGACUCAGAUCUAGAAACUCUGCAGGUUUGCAUCCCACCUCAGCUACCACAAGAGAUCCACGAUCACUAGCCGAGAUCUGAGAAAAAGCCCUGCAUCUUCUUCGAUUGAAAGCCAGACUGACUGCCCAAGUUGCCAUGGAGACCAUGGAGAACACAAAGAACUGUUGGCUAGUGGACUCUGUCAUUUUUUAAAUAAUAUAGCUGGUAGAUUUUUUUGUUUAUUUCUCAGACUUCUGACUACAUUGACAGCUAAGGCACAGAUAUAAUCUGCUCCUUUCUUACCUUCCUCUUCUUGCUGUGCCACUCUCCUAACAUUAUCUGAGCUCCUAUAAAUUUGCCUAACUGUACUAAAACAUUCCACUAUACGAUCUAACUUUUUAAUCUUGUUCCUUCUGUUCCAC
rnacentral:lncRNA from 1 species